UAGUUGGUGGGGUAAUGGCCUACCAAGCCUACGAUCUAUAGCUGGUUUGAGAGGAUGAUCAACCACACUGGGACUGAGACACGGCCCAGACUCCUACCGGAGGCAGCAGUAGGGAAUCUUAGACAAUGGGGGCAACCCUGAUCUAACCAUGCCGCGUGUGUGAUGAAGGCCCUAGGGUCGUAAAGCACUUUCGCCAGAGAUGAUAAUGACAGUAUCUGGUAAAGAAACCCCGGCUAACUCCGUGCCAGCAGCCGCGGUAAUACGGAGGGGGUUAGCGUUGUUCGGAAUUACUGGGCGUAAAGCGCACGUAGGCGGAUUAGUAAGGUAGUGGUGAAAUCCCAGGGCUCAACCCUGGAACUGCCUUUAAUACUGCUAGUCUUGAGUUCUAGAGAAGUAAGUGGAAUUCCGAGUGUAGAGGUGAAAUUCGUAGAUAUUCGGAGGAACACCAGUGGCGAAGGCGGCUUACUGGCUCGAUACUGACGCUGAGGUGCGAAAGUGUGGGGAGCAAACAGGAUUAGAUACCCUGGUAGUCCCACCGUAAACGAUGAAUGCCAGACGUCAGCAGUAUACUUGUUGGUGUCCACCUAACGGAUU
rnacentral:rRNA from 1 species